rnacentral:rRNA from 1 species
GACGAACGCUGGCGGCGUGCCUAAUACAUGCAAGUUGAGCGCUGAAGGUUGGUACUUGUACCAACUGGAUGAGCAGCGAACGGGUGAGUAACGCGUGGGGAAUCUGCCUUUGAGCGGGGGACAACAUUUGGAAACGAAUGCUAAUACCGCAUAAAAACUUUAAACACAAGUUUUAAGUUUGAAAGAUGCAAUUGCAUCACUCAAAGAUGAUCCCGCGUUGUAUUAGCUAGUUGGUGAGGUAAAGGCUCGCCAAGGCGAUGAUACAUAGCCGACCUGAGAGGGUGAUCGGCCACAUUGGGACUGAGACACGGCCCAAACUCCUACGGGAGGCAGCAGUAGGGAAUCUUCGGCAAUGGACGAAAGUCUGACCGAGCAACGCCGCGUGAGUGAAGAAGGGUUUCGGAUCGUAAAACUCUGUUGGUAGAGAAGAACGUUGGUGAGAGCGGAAAGCUCAUCAAGUGACGGUAACUACCCAGAAAGGGACGGCUAACUACGUG